rnacentral:rRNA from 1 species
UGCAGUCGAGCGAGAAAGCACCUUCGGGUGUGAGUACAGCGGCGAAAGGGAGAGUAACGCGUAGAUACGCACCUUUGGGUUCGGAAUAGCCAUGGGAAACCGUGGGUAAUGCCGGAUAAUGUCCCCGGACCAAAGAUUUAUCGCCCAAAGAGCGGUCUGCGUCCUAUUAGUUUGUUGGUGGGGUAAUGGCCUACCAAGACUAAGAUGGGUAGCGGGCGUGAGAGCGUGACCCGUCUCACUGGGACUGAGACACUGCCCAGACACCUACGGGUGGCUGCAGUCGAGAAUCUUCCGCAAUGGACGAAAGUCUGACGGAGCGACGCCGCGUGCGGGAUGAAGGCCUUCGGGUUGUAAACCGCUGUCAGAGGGAAGGAAAUUUUGACCGAACCUCAGAGGAAGUCCGGGCUAAGUUCGUGCCAGCAGCCGCGGUAAUACGAACCGGACGAACGUUAUUCGGAAUCACUGGGCUUAAAGAGUCCGUAGGCGGCUUGGAAGGUGGAGUGUGAAAUCCUACAGCUCAACUGUAGAACUGCGCUCCAAACCAUCAAGCUCGAGGAAGUCAGGGGUGAGCGGAACAAAUGGUGGAGCGGUGAAAUGCGUUGAUAUCAUUUGGAACACCGGUGGCGAAGGCGGCUCACUGGGACUUUUCUGACGCUGAGGGACGAAAGCUAGGGGAGCGAACGGGAUUAGAUACCCCGGUAGUCCUAGCUGUAAACGAUGAGCACUAGUUCGAGGAGACCUCCACAUCUUCUCGGACGU